rnacentral:lncRNA from 1 species
CAAUAACUAAUAGUAAAAAGAUAACAAAAAACAAAAUACUUGUAUCCCAAAUUAGAAAAUACAUGGAGAGAGAGCAAAAAAAAACGUGUCUCAAACGAAAAAACAUGCGUCAUUACACGCCAUGACUCGUUAUAUCACGCGUCAGGCAUAACAACAAUGUUAUGAGAAUUCUCAUAAUUGUGACAUCACACCUCAUGUCAUGGCAAGCCUUGACGCGCGCCGUUUAGAACACUGGUUUCGACGUUUAAUUCGUGAUACUUGUCGGAUGUUCUAGACUUCGUAGGAAAGAACUCCUCAAAUAAACAAAACAACAUUAAUAUAUUACUAAAAAAGAAAAUGUUCUAUUUUGAAUAGCAUGUAAUAUUAGUGCAGAAUAUAAAAGGUUGUUAUAAAUAUCAAUAACAUUUAUUAAUUUUAAUAUUUAUUUGCAAAAAUUUUAACAACCUAAUUUUACACUGUGCAAACGACCGACCAUUCGCGCAAUAUCUAUCCUAAGAACACCUUAAUUGUUAAGUUAUAUUCUUAUUACGGCUACAUAAGCGAUAUUAGAAAAAAUGCGUACAUCGAUAAUUAGUUACAUUACUAUAUUUUUUCAUGAUUUUCAUUUUCUUUAUUCAAUCCAACUUUUGUCCAAUGUUGUCUUUAAACAUCCUUUCCCUGCAAACUCUCUCUCGAAUAAAAUCAGUUGGAUAAAUAAUACAAGCGGACAAAAACAAACAAGUACUUGGUUCCAACUACACAGCAUUCAAUUCUCUCUCUCUCUCUCUCUCUCUCUCUCUCUCUAUAUAUAUANNNNNNNNNACACGAAGGAGCAUAAAAAGAAAAGAAAGAAAGUUAGGAGAGGGGUAAAUGAGACUACAGUACGUGUGUGAGGAAGAAGAGAAGGAGUUAAGCCGACAGGAAGCGCCGGGUGCGUGCCCAAAAUGUGGUGGUAAAGUGGAAGCCGUCGACUGCGCUCACAAAUGGAGGUUUUGCUUCGUUCCAGUCUGCAACAUCGUUAAAAGAAGAUACAUAUGCACCCUUUGCUCCAAACGUUUGGUGUUUUUGUAUUCUUAGGUUCCCUUAUAUAAUUGUAAGAGUUCCUUUGUUUCAUGGCAAUAAGUGAGGUUGAUUCGUCAUAUUCUUUUAAUGCAUAUGUUUUAACCAUCGAAGAUGCAUAUUUUUCUUUAAGGUUGGUCAUCAUAUGGUUAGGACUAAUUAGGACAUUUUCUUCUCUGAUUCUUGUGUUGAAUGGUGCAUUUUUGUUGUUCAUUUCAAAUUGUUGUUGGAGCUUUGGAUUCUGUCAACUAUGACACAACUUUUGAUCAAUUAAAAGAAAAAGAAAACUGGGAAUAAUUAGCCUUCAAGUUCAUAAUACAUUGCAGGUGAAAGCCUUAUCAAGAACAUGUAAUUGGAAAAGGCCAAUCUAAACACGGGGCCGACCAUGAUAUAUAUAGUUGGUAUACCCGCAAUAACGAUCGGUAGGGUUGUGUUUUAGUGAUUGAACUUUUAUAUUAUAUUUAUUUUAUUCAAAAAUAAGUAAAAAAAAAUUGGUCGCUGAUGGUUGUAGACUUGUAGGUGAUACAAUAUUAAUAUUUGAUUGCUAAAAAGAAGUUCAAAAGGCUUGAAAGAUAUAUUGAUGAAAGAACAUAGAUAAUGUUUUUUCGUAUUUGGUUAUAAGAAAUAAGAUAAGUUUGAGUUCUAUAUAUGGUAUGUUAAAAUCAUUUUUACCUAUUUAUUGGAAGAAAGUAUUCGACUUCAAAUAUCAAUUAAAUUUCUUCUAUGUAAGUGUUGUUUUCUUAUAGUUCAUACACACAUGCAUAAAUAUAUGUAGAUGCAACAAAAAAACAGUUUGAAGGAUAAAACUGAAACUAAGCCAAGUUUUAUAAAAUUGGUAUUAGAUAAACCGAUACGGUUUAAAAUUGAAUCGUUGGUUUACUAGUUGCUACUGAAUUCAGAAUUUAUAAUAAUAAAAAAAGUUCAAAUAACAAUAAUAAUCUACUUUACAAGUAUAAAUAAAGAAUAUUCACAAUAUAAGAACUUACUUGAGUUUUGUUAAAAUCGUGUGUCGAAUCAUCGAAUAUUGUUUUUUAUUCUUUAAGAUCUUGAUCAACAAAGCUUCAAUUUGAUGUAAAGAUGAUCAAUUUUGGAGUUGAUCCUUUUUUUUUGGGGGUGGGAAUUAGUUUUGGUGUUCACAUUGUCAUCUAAAGGAUCGGGUAUGGGUGAAAUUAUAUAGGAUUAAGAUUAGGAAGGAUCGGGUGUGGGUGAAAUUAUAUAGC